UACGUAGGGAGCGAGCGUUAUCCGGAUUCAUUGGGCGUAAAGCGCGCGUAGGCGGCUGCCUAAGCGGAACCUCUAAUCCUGGGGCUCAACCUCAGGCCGGGUUCCGAACUGGGCGGCUCGAGUGCGGUAGGGGCAGGUGGAAUUCCCGGUGUAGCGGUGGAAUGCGCAGAUAUCGGGAGGAACACCGAUGGCGAAGGCGGCUUACUGGACGAAGACUGACGUUGAGGCUCGAAAGCGUGGGGAGCAAACAGGAUUAGAUACCCCGGUAGUCCCUGAG
rnacentral:rRNA from 1 species